CGUCCGUUAGUCACGCAUCGCUCCUGAUCCGUGGACCAGCACGUCUCCAAUAGUCUGAGCCACGGUCCGGAAUUGGUACAAACGAUUCUCGGUGGGUCAGGAAGGCUUGCGGCCCAGAGGAGGUUGGCGAAACCUCGGUCCCCUGAUAUCUGCGACGGCGGGUGCUACUUCCGGCGGCCCGGCGAUGGAAGAUGCGGCGCUGGAGUUCCUUAUGGAUCCCAUCAACCGGUUUCCAUUUAGGGAGGAAUUUGCGGCAACCUUGAGCAUCCAGAUCCGGUUAGUCCUGCUGCCAUGCUGUGAUGCCCAUCCUGCUAUGCCGGCGGAUUCCAAUGGCAGGUCUGGUUGCGCACAAGAUGAGGGUCCGCGGCCCCGUUAGGCUGGCAGGCGAACUACGACGAGGAAACAAUGCUUCUCCAAAUAGGUUGUGGCUGGGGAGUGCUCCAUUGGACAUAACUCCGUGCACAUCGAAGAUGAGUUUGUUGGAGCAAUCUAUUUGCAAAUAUGCGGAGAAGCCUAUGAAGAGUUUAAUAAAAUCGGAGUUAGGAUUGACUUUCAACUCACUCGGGGAGGCCUACGACUUCUACAGGUCGUACUUGUGGGAGGUUUGGCUUUGGGAUCAGGUAUGGUAAGAGCAGAUUGAAUGCCGACAAGGUGCAGAAAAUAAUCUAUGGCUGCUCGGGGAAGCCAGAAGCAAGAACAAUCGGUCUUGUAGGUGCGAUUGCCCCGCAUUGAUAAGCCUGUUGCGGGCGUCCGACAAUAGCUGUUACUCCCUCCGUUCCAUAAUAUAAGAACAUUUUUGAUACUACAUUAGUGUAAAAAACACUCUUAUAUUAUGGGACCGAGGGAGUAUAUAACUGAGCAUCGUGAGAACAACAAUCAUUCUAUGUCGCGGACAAUGGGGGAGAAGGUCCGCUGGCCAUAGGUAGCGUUUAUGAAGAGGACUUUGAGGAACAUAUGUGGCUAGAUAAGUCAUGAGCAGACAGACGAUGAUGUGAGGAAAACUUUGGAGGGUUUUGCUGACAUUGUUGCAAGUGACCUGGACUUUUUGUCGAUAGCGAGAGCAGGGUCAAGAAGCUGAUGUGGACCAAUGGAAGCAGUUGGAUGCAAUACUGGUUCUUUGAAGAUGUCACUUUCGACAAUGACAUGCAAUUCGUGCUUUUUGUUGGGGUGAACAACCGUUUUCAGAGCAUUAUUUUGGCUGGUGUAUUGAUGAGGCACGAGCAGCUGAAGAGUUUCGACCGGGGAGUUUCUAAGGAUGAUAGGAGGAACCGACCCGAAAACUAUCGUCACAGGUUUGGCAGUGUAUUUAAUUUGCAGUUCACAAUCAGAAUAUUUGAACAUGCUCACUCAUGUUAUCUCACUGUGUGCAGACCAGAACAAAAUGUUUGCUGUCUUUUUAAUUUUUAUUAAAAGAAGCUGAUGUAUGCUGGUAGUGACAGAGUCAUGUUGUGAGGAGAACCAAUCUGGCAAUAGAGUGUCACACAAGCAUGAGCUAUGAUCGAGCAGUUCGGGUGAAUCCUAAUUGAAGGUACUGCAUACAAUGUUACGGAGGUUGAGAAGAUGAAGAAGUAUGUGACAAUGGACAACAAUGCGGCGAAACAUGAGAAGUUUAGUAGAGUUGUUUAAGAGGUAAAAAUCAAGGGUGACGGUACUGAAUUCGUGUGCGAGUGCAGUCAGUUGAAGCAUACAAGGAUGCUUUCCUGCCAUGUCCUAAGGGUAAUAUAUAUGCCUUCAAUUGGCUGUGGUUUGCAUACAGUGCAAGUAUGUUUGUUCGAUUAUAGUUUGAUAUAUGUUCAGAUAGUUGGUAUACCAUCUUUGACGCAUGCAUAAGUCUUUCACAUGCAGGCAUUCGACUCUAUACGUGCAUGCUAUGCUAGCUCUGAAGGGUUAAGAGCACAACUCUAAUGAUUAAAGCUAGCGCUGAAGCGUUCAAGCACAUGUCAGCUGGCCUUAAAGCUCCAAUGGUGAGCUGUGAACCAUUGGCAGAGAAGAGGGAUGGUCUGGGAUUUGAAGACCAUCAGGUUGCGAUCACUGCAGACAGGUUAACUAGGAAUGGCGACCUUGCAGUCCUAUCAAAUGGUGGUGCAACCCAGGAAGAUAAUUUGGGUGGUUCUGUGAGUGUGAAUGCACUUCAAGGCGAGCACCUCCGGAGAACCAAAGGGGUGUUGGCAGGCCGACAAAUAGCCGUGAGAAAGCACCAUAUCACUCUCUCAGCAAGCGUACUAGGUUUUGUAGCAUAUUCGUCGUGAAAAGCCCCGCAAGCCUGACAAAUGCAAGAACUGUGGUAUGGAGGGGCACCGUUGAAACACGUGUACAUGACCACUUGGUGGUGGGCAGACUUAGAAGUGAGGAUUUAAUUUGCCUGUAUAACUUGUAAUUUGAGGAUUUUCUGGUGUGUACUGCGAGCCAUGCUUAACGCUUGUUCCCCCAGUGCUUAUAGUGUGUACCAUUGUAAGAUUGUAACAUUGAGUGAUAGUGGUCGAAGUCUUUUGUAGUACUUUAUGCUAACUUGCCAGAUCUUAAGAUUUUUAA